UUCCAUUGUUUAGGCACGUUUCUCUUUGUACAUUAAUAGAAAUCUUUGCUCAUAUUUAAGAUAAAACAUAUCUAAUUCUUAUAUAGGUAGGAUACGUUUUCAUUUCAAUUCUACAAAGGAGAUUUUGCUUCUCUCUCGUUACAUAGUUCUAUUUUGAAUCUAUGGUUAGGACAUAACAUAUUGUUACGAAGCAAUUCACAAGUAUUGUAAUACAAAAUAAUGUAAAUACAAAGUAUUGUAUUUCACGAAGCACAAGCCUCGAGGAUAUAAAUUUCCCUUGAGGAGUUCCUAUGCGUGAGAUUAUGUGUCUUUUUGGUUUUUACCUACUGUGUGCAGUAUAUGGCACGGGACUAGCACUUAAUGGUAUCUAAACAGAGUACGUAAGCCAAUAAAAUAACACCUACGUUUGGUUUCGACGAAUCGGAAUGUUGUAAUUUAUAAUACUCUGAUAACGUGAUGUUUUGGCAAUGAGGAUUGGUUGGCAGAAACUCAACGCUGAAAUUCAUUUCUUUGAUUGAUAGAUUGAAUGCUAUUACUGCUGGAUAGGUUGAUUCCUUUAUCCUCGUUUCGAUUGCUCUAUUCCAGAGAGAGUAGAGAUAAUUGCAGCGAUAUUGUGUCAGGAAUUUGUCAAAAAUGUCGCAGAAAACGAAUUUCUAUAUCGUGUUUGAGCAACUUAUAAUCGAACGAAUUUGAAAUAGAAUUGAGAUUUGUUCCGAUAUGAAUAAUACUGUUACGUUCUACGCUGACCCAAGACUAUAAAAAAGAAACUAUAAAAUAUGACUCCAAAUUUUACCAGAUAUAACUAUGAAUAAGUGACAUCUCCUUUUUCAUAAAUGUUUAUAAAAAUACUUCUAAUACCAUUAUACAAAGAGCGACGUGACCUAAGCUAAUCUAACAUGUGAAGAGCAGAGGAAUAAUGGAUGCUAGCAUAUGUGCGAGCAUAUGCGACAAGUCUAUGGGGCCUCAUCCCCACCAUCAGACUCAGCACUCCAAGCGUCCACAGCGGCCGUAUUAAAGAGAAUCUUAUUAACAUCUCCACCUCUAGCUAGGGAGAGAAUCAUAAUGAACCAAUGACGGCACAAAUGAGCGGCAGAUCACCCUUCACUGAUUCGUUAACGCUUUCUAUUUAACCGGCUACACACGCCAUCUCUACGAUUAUUCAAUUUUCUGAGUUUUGUUCCGACAUGAUUUUUCGAUUAUUACUACCACUGUUAUUUUGAUUGUUCACACAGAUUAUUCGAUUAUUAUUCGAUUGUUCUUCUAUUAGCAGUUUCUAUUAUUGUUACUUAUUAUAUCGACGGAUUAUUCGAUUCUUAGUUGUUUACAGUACGGAUUAUUCGCUUUAGUCUAUUUCUUAUAAUUAUACGACACGAUUAUUACUUUGACGUUUAUAUUACGAUUAUUACUUCAGUUACUAUUGUCUUAAAAUCCAGUACAGAUCGUUAUUCUUGUUGAAUUGUAUCUAUUUGUUAUUGUUGCCUUGAAUAAAUUAAGCAUUAUUGAAAUUUAGUCUAAGUCAAUAAUCUCGGUUGUGCCUACGGAAACGAUUCACUUUUCUCCUAAUUCAUUUAGAAGUGAAUCUUAACACAUUGUUGUCCGGAAAUUUUACACAGAAAUUGUCAUGUCACCGGCUAUUAUUUUAUAGCAAUGACGAGUUAACUAGUCAGGUUAACAAUGUGUUAAUUCAACAUCGUUCAAUUAUAAGUUGCAUAACACUAACCCAGUCCAAAUUGAAUGUUCCAAAUGAAAAUCCAAAUAACCGGUUCAAAAUUUAGCGCAGUUUCGUAUACGCUUCAAUAAGGAAGGAUUUUGACGUGGGCUUCAUGAUCAAUAAGAUCUUGUCCUUAGUAAAAAAUAUUAAAUUUAUAAACAAAAGAUUAGGAUUGCUCAUUAUGCAGGGUCGAUGAUACAAGAUCGCAAUAAUCUAUCUGCAGGCGCUAACGGCAUACUUUUUGAAGUCAAUGUGAAGUUAAUGUAUCGAUUAUUCAAAUUUUCAUUUUUCCUCCAAAAUUUGCCGAAUAGUAAUGAUUUGAUCUAUAAUCGAUCUAUUUUUCUUAAAAACGCAUUGAUGGUCCCCAAUUAUUUCAUCUGCAUAUAGUAGAAGGAUUGUUGAUUUAGAUUUUAAAUUUAUUAAACAAAAUUUUAUAGCAUGUAGAUAAAAGUGAGAUGCCCUGACAAUUAUUACAAUUCAUUUUGUCGCUUUUUUGAAAAUUGAGAUUAUAAUUAAAUCUUUCCAUUGUUUCGGCAAUGCUUCUUUAUUCCAAAUUAAGAUAAUUAAUUCUUCUAUCAAUCCACUUUUCCACUUGAUUAAUUCUGCUGGAAUUAAGUCAAUAUGGUGCUUUAUGAUUCUUUAAUUUUUUAACUGUGUUUUACUUCUAAAAUCGUCGUCUCAUUAAUUAUAGGUUUAAAUGUUGAAAACUUUUAAUAUUCAUAGCGGAUUAAAGUAGAAGGAUGCAUUAUCAUCUCUUUUAUUCAAUUUAGUAUUGAAAUAUGCCGUGAAAGAUAUACAGAAAAAUGAAGAUGGUCUAUAGUUGAACGGUAUAACACAACUGUUAACAUGUGCAGAUGAUAUUGCUUUGCUAGGGUAUCUAUAAUUUGAUUGGAUCAGGCAUGAGAAAGCUUACCUACAGGUGUAAUAAGUAUGGUUGUUCAUCUAUUUUGAACACAAAUUUGUAGACAAAAUUCUUAACAUUUCAGCAUACAAUCACUUGACUAAUUUCAAAAAAUAUAAUCUUAUUGUAUUAAAAGCUAAAGAUAAAGAACUUUCUUUGUAGGUAUCAAAUGGUGAUUUUAAAUGCUAAAGAUAAAGUUGAAGAUAAACUAAAUUUUUUUACGAUGAUAAUAAUACAAAAAACUAUUAAUUGUUAUAAAACGGCAAAUGAUUAUACGAAAGAAAAUAAUUACAAAAAACUUUUAUUGGCUAAAACAGCAGAAAAUUUUUGCAAUACGAUUCAUUGAUUCUAACAAUUGCAUAAUUGUUUUUUCAACAGAAUCAAAUAUAAAGCAUAUCAGGAUAAAUGAAAGAUAAUCAAGAAUAAUGAUGUAUCAAUCAUGGAUAGUAUAUCUAAGAAUGCACUGACCAGUUUUGAAAAAUUAUUUAUUAUACAAGGUCUGAUAAAGGAUCUGAAAGGAAUGUUAUUACUUCCAAAGAACUUUUUGAUUUUUUUAUUGGGAAAAAAAAGAAGAUCGUAAUUGAAAAUAUUCGGCUGGUCUAAAAUAAAUUAUCCUGAUUCGGAACAGAAUAAUCGUUCUAUAAAUUUUUCCAAUGUAUAUCGAAAAUCAAUUAAUAAAAUAUGUAUAACUAUAAACAGUAUCGAAGGACUAUAUCAUCACUACAAUAGUUUAAUACAGAAGCAAGAAGAAGCAAGUUACCAUAUGUUACUAGUGAUACAUUGUGAUCUAAUAUCUGAAGAUUUAAAGUAAACAAUGUUAUUGUUGCUGGGUUAAAUUUUUUUUACCCUCUUCCCCCAGUAGCGCAAAAUGUCGAAAAUUCGCAAAAAUGAAAAAAAAAAUUUGUUAUCGCUCAAUAUGAAAAUUCUAAAAUUUUACUCAUUUACGAAAAAAAUUAAUUAGUAGUAUUCAAGGUAUAAUGAAGAGGUGUGAAAUAUUUUUUUAACCUCUGAAAAUGCCAGAAAAUAUGAAAGAUAAAAUUGCUUAUGCUGAUGAGUAUGAAAUAAUACUAUUGUUAUUUAGAUACGAACUGAUUAAAGAUGAACAAAACUGUGUCACAGUGAUGCUAAUGUUUUUUUAAAAGAAAUCAACAGUAUAUUGAAAUGUUUGAAUGGUAUAAAUUAUACAUGUCGAUAUUCUCAGACUAUCUUUAUUUUACAAACUGGUUUAUGAUUAUCUAAAUUUAAAAUCUGUAUAAAAAUAAUCUUGAAGGCAAUAUACUACGUUUAACAUAAUAUGGGAUUUAAAAAAGUAGAAAAUACAAAUAGGAUUAUCUCAUAUUAAAAA